UACGUAGGGUGCGAGCGUUAAUCGGAAUUACUGGGCGUAAAGCGUGCGCAGGCGGUUUUGUAAGACAGCUGUGAAAUCCCCGGGCUCAACCUGGGAACUGCGGUUGUGACUGCAAGGCUGGAGUGCGGCAGAGGGGGGUGGAAUUCCUGGUGUAGCAGUGAAAUGCGUAGAGAUCAGGAGGAACACCGGUGGCGAAGGCGGUUCUCUGGGCCUUACCUGACGCUGAGGAGCGAAAGCAUGGGGAGCAAACAGG
rnacentral:rRNA from 1 species